UACGUAGGUGGCAAGCGUUGUUCGGAAUAACUGGGCGUAAAGGAUGCGUAGGCGGUUAAACAAGUUAUAUGUUAAAUAUAUAGGCUUAACCUGUAGAAAGCAUAUAAAACUGUUUAACUAGAGCGCAGGAGAGGUAAGUGGAAUUCCUAGUGUAGCGGUGAAAUGCGUAGAGAUUAGGAAGAACACCAGUGGCGAAGGCGACUUACUGGACUGUAACUGACGCUGAGGCAUGAGAGCAUGGGGAGCAAACAGG
rnacentral:rRNA from 1 species